UAUUUUCAGCUCGAUUUUAAUCUCAAUUGAAUUGGAUUAUUGAUUUUUCACCCAAGGUUUUAUUUGUAUCAAAGUAUGAAUGUUUUAUUGUUGGAAAGUUGUUGUUAUAGUUGUUUUACUCUUAUCAAUUUGAUUGUUUUCUUAUGUUACUGGCAAUUUUGGUUUUUGUUUUGUUUCCAGUUUGUAAUUGAGUCUGGAUUUUCAUUAUUGUGUUCUCCCACCCCUGGGUAUUUGAUUCCUCUAAUUAUACAAAUUAGAAUCAUAUCAUCUGCUAGAGGAGUACUUGUGUUUCUAGCAAGGGUGCUGAACUUGAAGAAGUAAUGCUAUUGCCAAUAUGGUGUUUUCUCUUCACCUAUGAAUUUGAUUGUUUUCUUAUGCUACUCGCCAGGGUUUCGGAUUGUAUUUUAUUUGUGGGGCAAUGAACUAAUGCAAUGUUUUUUGAGAAUUUGAUUUUAUAGGUUCUGUGGUUGUGUGUGGCGAAGAUCACAUUGCAUCUUACAACUUGCUUAUCAUCACUUUGUUGGUAUCUGUUUUUAUGAUUCCACAAUAUGUUUUUUCGGUGAUCACACCAAAACACAUUAUAUAUAGGUUUAGUGGCUCUAUCUUUCAUAGUCAUUCUGCAGAAAGUCAUCAUACAAAGAGUACAUUCUGUCUAUGUAUACUAGUCCCAGAGAAAUGGGAUUAUGGGAUAAUUAUCACCCUAUCCCUGAUUCUUAACCUGAAAACAAGGCGUCUUUUAGGCGGGCGGCUGACUAGGCGCCCUCGGCGCUCAACUGGGCCGAGUCGGGGCCCAACUCGGCCAACCCUAAUUUGAUAACCCCCCCCCCCACCCCCCCCACAAAAGAAGAAGAAGUCCAAAGCAUCGAGCGUCGCCCUCUCCACAACCGCAAAGCGUUAGCAUCGUCGUCGUCCAGCCAUCUAGUCCUCACCGUCACAACAGCCACAGACCUCCUCAGCCUCCUCGUCUGCUCGUCAUCGUAGUUGCUACACGGAGUUGCCUCAUCAUUGUCCGUCAUUGCCGGCCUCGCCUACACCUCGUCGGUUGCUCCUCUUAUAAAAUGCCUUGGCUGAAUGUAGUCUCUAGAACACUGCCUUCUACUUUUGAUUUAUAUUUAUUGUCUUUGCCUCUCUGGAACACUGCCUUCUAUUUUGUUUUCUAAUUACUAGUGUGUCUAGGUGCUAGGCGCCCCCCGAGCGCCCGAUUAGCGCCUUCUGCAACAUUGUCUAUUGUCUAUACUCUUUAGAAACUUUGUUUUGAGCCCAUUCUUAGGAAGCUUCAAUAUAUGUUUCAUAGAGAUGGCAA